CAUCAGCAUGGAACAAGUGCAGCAAAGUAAUGAAAAAGAGGAAGAAAGAUGGGUUUCAUAAUCCACAAUAACACAAAAUUUCUGAACCUUUAGGGUACAUAAAGCAACACCAGUUCUGCUUUUCUUCCUCCGCUGCUUCGUCCUCGCCAUCUCUCCAUCAACAGGACGAAUCAAUUUUGAUUCGUAUUUGAUAAAUAAGCUAACUGCUUCCAUUUGAAUAAUAAAUCAAAAGGGCCAACAUCCCUAAUUUCCAAUAUCAUCCGAGAGGUGGGUUGGGUGAAGAAUCAAGACCAUGUCGUUUGGAUCAAACAAGUAGUCAUACCUGCCAGACACAACCAACGCACCAGAUUAAAGAAUUAAAGAAAACGCAAAGGGUGACAACACAAGUGUGACACAGAGAGAGAGAGAGAG